rnacentral:tRNA from 1 species
UGCGGGAUGGCUGAAUUAUAAGCGAAAGAUUGUAGCUCUUUUAAUGGAGGAUGGGCCUUCUCUCGUAA